CUCUCUCUCUCUCUCUCUCUUUAGAUGUAUAUUAAAAAUUCCGUAUCAGUCCAAGUUCAUUGAAGCUUGAAUUACCUUUUCGUUUUAACUGUCAACUGUUUUCCAUUCUUUAUCUAAUUCUCCCAUCAUAUAUCUUUUCAUUCAUUUUCCUCCACUUUUUAAUUUCUUCUUCUUUUCUUCUUCUUUUUCUAUUUCUCCUUCUUGUUCUUGUUUUUCUUAUUUUCGUCAUUUUCCUCAUUUGUUCUUCUAUAUUAUUAUCUUUUACUGUUUCUUUAUCUUUUUUAUCUCUUGUUUUGUUUUCUUCUCCUUCCGGUGUGGUGUCAUCUGCCAUCCACCUAUCCUAAGACAUCCCAUCCUGAUCUACGCAUGCGCGGAACCCGAUGUUUACAAACACAGUGUAGAUAUCGUUCUUUGUCCAGGCAAGAUGGCGCCAAGACAUACAAGGGGUGUAGGUUAUCUCAUUUAUCACAUUUACCGACAUACAAGGGGUGUAGGUUAUCUCAUUUAUCACAUUUACUGACAUACAAGGGGUGCAGGUUAUCUCAUUUAUCACAUUUACUGACAUACAAGGGGUGCAGGUUAUCUCAUUUAUCACAUUUACUGACAUACAAGGGGUGCAGGUUAUCUCAUUUAUCACAUUUACUGACAUACAAGGGGUGUAGGUUAUCUCAUUUAUCACAUUUACUGACAUACAAGGGGUGUAGGUUAUCUCAUUUAUCACAUUUACCGACAUACAAGGGGUGUAGGUUAUCUCAUUUAUCACAUUUACUGACAUACAAGGGGUGUAGGUUAUCUCAUUUAUCACAUUUACUGACAUACAAGGGGUGCAGGUUAUCUCAUUUAUCACAUUUACCGACAUACAAGGGGUGUAGGUUAUCUCAUUUAUCACAUUUACCGACAUACAAGGGGUGUUGGUUAUCUCAUUUAUCACAUUUACUGGUACAAAGGGUGCAGGAAAAAACUUUCAUAUUUCAAGCAAUUUCCAAAUUCAGAACAUACGUCAUCAUUUACUUUAAAAAAAAUAAAAAAAUAAGCUUAGGUGUCGCAACUCAUCCACCCUCUGUUUGUAAACAAAGCCCACGCAUGCGCAGAUCGGGUGGGAUGUCUUAGGAUACGUGGAUGGCAGAUGACACAACACCGGUCCUCUUCCUCCACCCCCCCCUUUCUCUUGA